AAACCGCCUAGAGGUAAACGGGUGGAUCCGCAAAGUCGGCCCGCGGAAUUCAGCUCGGAAGGCCGGCGCGAGCGGCGGGCAAGAGAUCUGAUGGGACUCUCCCGUCGGUCGACCGCUGGUCGGCCGUGUGCACUUUCCGCGGGCAGAGCGCCACGACCGGUUCCCGGGCGGUCAGAAGGCGGCGAGGAAGGUAGGUGGUUGCCUCGGCGGCCACUGUUACAGCCUCGCCUGUCCCGACCCGCUUGGGGACCGAGGAGCCGCCGUCGGUCGCGGCCACUCCGCUCUCUCGGGGAGUUCGACUGGCAGAGACUGGGCAACCGUGUCUGCCGACCGCUCUCUGGGAUGGUCGGAGCGGGCCUGGCCGGCACAGGGUCGGUGGCGAAUCGGUCGGCCCUCCACCCGACCCGUCUUGAAACACGGACCAAGGAGUCUAACAUGCGCGCGAGUCGUUGGGUAGUACGAAACCCGAAGGCGAAGUGAAAGCGAGGGCGCGCCUCUGGUGCGCUCAGGUGGGAUCCCGCUCCUCACGGGGAGUGGGCGCACCGCCGGCCCGUCUCGUCCGCGUCGUCGGUGAGGCGGAGCAAGAGCGUGCACGUUGGGACCCGAAAGAUGGUGAACUAUGCCUGAGUAGGAUGAAGCCAGAGGAAACUCUGGUGGAGGUCCGCAGCGAUUCUGACGUGCAAAUCGAUCGUCAAACUUGGGUAUAGGGGCGAAAGACUAAUCGAACCAUCUAGUAGCUGGUUCCCUC
rnacentral:rRNA from 1 species